rnacentral:rRNA from 1 species
AAUCAAGUGCCUUAAGGGUGUUCGGUGAAUUCCUUUGCGCGGAGAGACGAUGAAGGACGAGCUAGGAUGCGAUAAGCCGCGGGGAGAUGAGCAGAAUAUCUGGAGCAAUUGGUUAAGAAAGGGGGAGCACACGGAGGAAGCUAGGCGCUCGGAGACCCGAAGAAGGACACAUCAACAACGGACUGCCUCGGGGAUCGAGAGCACGGUCCGAUCCGGGGAUUCCGAAUGGGGAAACCCAGGAUUUCCUGUUGUCAUGGGCAGUUACCAGUAUCCGGAAUACAUACUUACAUCCACCCAACCCUUGGUAACUGAAACAUCUAAGUACC